rfam:Ovis aries breed Texel chromosome 18, whole genome shotgun sequence.
AAAGUGGCCUACGCAACAGCCAUGGACUGGUUCAUAGCCGUCUGUUACGCUUUU